rnacentral:lncRNA from 1 species
AAUGAUCCUGAGGGUCCUCAGUGGGUGCACCACUAAAGGUAGUGGUGAAAGCUUGGUGAACCUGUCUAGCCUCCACAGCAUUUGCGGACAUAGCCGUUCCAUUGCGGUCUGAGCAACCACUCCCAGCUGAACUGCCACAGCUGGCUAAACUACUAGAAUUUGAACCGAGGGAGCUACCUGCUCCGAAGUACGCGUAGCAGGAGUCUGGGCCCUGCUCCAGUCUAAGAAACAGUUGGUGCUACAGGAAGAAAACCCACUCGGGUAACACUCUCCAUGAGACCCACCAAUCAGACCAAAGCGUC